rnacentral:misc_RNA from 1 species
GGCAGACCGUAAGAAGCAAAAAACAGAAAGAAACGUGUUUCAAUGCUUCGUCUUUGGUCCUAAAAAGGCUGGAAAGUCUGCUCUUUUGAAUACCUUAAUCCGAAGGCCUUAUUCAAAAAACUAUAGCUCAACAACUGAAGAUGGUUACGUCAUGAAUAUGCUUGAAAGCGUUCAGGGAGGUCAGAAGACACUUAUAUUGAGAGAGAUAUCUG